AUUGAACGCUGGCGGCAGGCCUAACACAUGCAAGUCGAACGGUAACAGGAAGCAGCUUGCUGCUUCGCUGACGAGUGGCGGACGGGUGAGUAAUGUCUGGGAAACUGCCUGAUGGAGGGGGAUAACUACUGGAAACGGUGGCUAAUACCGCAUAACGUCGCAAGACCAAAGAGGGGGACCUUCGGGCCUCUUGCCAUCAGAUGUGCCCAGAUGGGAUUAGCUAGUUGGUGAGGUAACGGCUCACCAAGGCGACGAUCCCUAGCUGGUCUGAGAGGAUGACCAGCCACACUGGAACUGAGACACGGUCCAGACUC
rnacentral:rRNA from 1 species